GAUGAACGCUGGCGGCGUGCCUAAUACAUGCAAGUCGAGCGAACGGACGAGAAGCUUGCUUCUCUGAUGUUAGCGGCGGACGGGUGAGUAACACGUGGAUCACCUACCUAUCAGACUGGGAUAACUUCGGGAAACCGGAGCUAAUACUGGAUAAUCUUUUGAACCGCAUGGUUCAAAAGUGAAAGACGGUCUUGCUGUCACUUCUAGAUGCAUCCGCGCUGCAUUAGCUAGUUGGUAAGGUAACGGCUUACCAAGGCAACGAUGCAUAGCCGACCUGAGAGGGUGAUCGGCCACACUGGAACUGAGACACGGUCCAGACGCCUACGGGAGGCAGCAGUAGGGAAUCUUCCGCAAUGGGCGAAAGCCUGACGGAGCAACGCCGCGUGAGUGAUGAAGGUCUUCGGAUCGUAAAACUCUGUUAUUAGGGAAGAACAUAUGUGUAAGUAACUGUGCACAUCUUGACGGUACCUAAUCAGAAAGCCACGGCUAACUACGUG
rnacentral:rRNA from 1 species